UACGAAGGUGGCAAGCGUUGUUCGGAUUUACUGGGCGUACAGGGAGCGUAGGCGGUUGGAUAAGCCCUCCGUGAAAUCUCCAGGCUUAACCUGGAAAGUGCAGAGGGGACUGUUCAGCUAGAGGAUGGGAGAGGAGCGCGGAAUUCCCGGUGUAGCGGUGAAAUGCGCAGAUAUCAGGAGGAAUACCGAUGGCGAAGGCAGGUCUCUGGGCUGACACUGACGCUCAUGCACGAAAGCGUGGGGAGCAAACAGG
rnacentral:rRNA from 1 species